rnacentral:rRNA from 1 species
GAUGAACGCUGGCGGCGUGCCUAAUACAUGCAAGUCGAGCGAACAGACGAGGAGCUUGCUCCUCUGACGUUAGCGGCGGACGGGUGAGUAACACGUGGAUAACCUACCUAUAAGACUGGGAUAACUUCGGGAAACCGGAGCUAAUACCGGAUAAUAUAUUGAACCGCAUGGUUCAAUAGUGAAAGACGGUGUUGCUGUCACUAAUAGAUGGAUCUGCGCCGCAUUAGCUAGUUGGUAAGGUAACGGCUUACCAAGGCAACGAUGCGUAGCCGACCUGAGAGGCUGGUCGGCCACCCUGGAGCUGAGCCACGGUCCAGACGCCUGCGGGAGGCAGCAGUAGGGAACGUUCCGCAAUGGGCGAAAGCCUGGCGGAGCAACGCCGCGUGAGUGAUGAGGGCCUUCGGUGCGUAAAGCUCUGUUAUUGGGGAAGAACAGAUGUGUAAGUAACUAUGCCCGUCUUGACGGUACCUAAUCAGAAAGCCCCGGCUAACUACGUG